rnacentral:misc_RNA from 1 species
GAUGAAGAACGCAGCAAAAUGCGAUAGGUAAUGUGAAUUGCAGAAUUCAGUGAAUCAUCGAAUCUUUGAACGCACAUUGCGCCCGCCAGUAUUCUGGCGGGCAUGCCUGUUCGAGCGUCAUUUCAACCCUCAAGCACAGCUUGGUGUUGGGACUCGCGUUAAUUCGCGUUCCUCAAAUUGAUUGGCGGUCACGUCGAGCUUCCAUAGCGUAGUAGUAAAACCCUCGUUACUGGUAAUCGUCGCGGCCACGCCGUUAAACCCCAACUUCUGAAUGUUGACCUCGGAUCAGGUAGGAAUACCCGCUGAACUUAAGCAUAUCAAUAAGCGGAGGA